rnacentral:tRNA from 1 species
GGAGUGCGUCUGGGACGGCAGAAUCCGGCAUGGCAUUCAGAAGGUCAGGGGUUCGAAUCCCCUCAGCUCCACCA